GAUGAACGCUGGCGGCGUGCCUAAUACAUGCAAGUCGAGCGAAGCGGGGCCGGGUGAGUAACACGUGGAUAACCUCCUAUAAGACUGGGAUAACUUCGGGAAACCGGCGCUAGACCCGAUACUUCUAGAUGGAUCCGCGCUGCAUUAGCUAGUUGGUAAGGUAACGGCUUACCAAGUCAACGAUGCAUAGCCGACCUGAGCGGGUGAUCGGCCACAGUGGAACUGAGACACGGUCCAGACUCCUACGGGAGGCAGCAGGAGGGAAUCUUCCGCAAUGGGCGAAAGCCUGACGGAGCAACGCCGCGUGAGUGAUGAAGGUCUUCGGAUCGUAAAACUCUGUUAUUAGGGAAGCGGUACCUAAUCAGAAAGCCACGGCUAACUACGUGCCAGCAGCCGCGGUAAUUC
rnacentral:rRNA from 1 species